rnacentral:rRNA from 1 species
UACGAGUGCCUCAAGCGUUAUCCGGAAUCAUUGGGCGUAAAGGUUGUGUAGGUGGUUGUGUUAGUCUCUUGUUAAAUUCUUCGGCUUAACCGGGGGCAUGCAAGGGAAACGGCACGACUCGAGGAUGCGAGGGGUCUGCGGAACUCAUAGUGUAGCGGUGAAAUGCGUUGAUAUUAUGGGGAACACCAAAAGCGAAGGCAGCAGACUGGAGCACUCCUGACACUGAAACAAGAAAGCGUGGGUCGCGAAUGGG